rnacentral:rRNA from 1 species
CUGUCUCAAAGAUUAAGCCAUGCAUGUCUCAGUACAAGCCAAAUUAAGGUGAAACCGCGAAAGGCUCAUUAAAUCAGUUAUGGUUCCUUAGAUCGUACACACAUUUACUUGGAUAACUGUGGUAAUUCUAGAGCUAAUACAUGCAAACAGAACUCCGACCGGAGACGGAAGGAGUGCUUUUAUUAGAUCAAAGCCAAUCGGUAGCGGUUCGUCCGUUAUCGUAUAACUUGGUGAUUCUGAAUAACUUUAAGCUGAUCGCACGGUCUUGCACCGGCGACGCAUCUUUCAAAUGUCUGCCUUAUCAACUGUCGAUGGUAGGUUCUGCGCCUACCAUGGUUGUAACGGGUAACGGGGAAUCAGGGUUCGAUUCCGGAGAGGGAGCCUGAGAAACGGCUACCACAUCCAAGGAAGGCAGCAGGCGCGCAAAUUACCCACUCCCGGCACGGGGAGGUAGUGACGAAAAAUAACGAUACGGGACUCAUCCGAGGCCCCGUAAUCGGAAUGAGUACACUCUAAAUCCUUUAACGAGGAUCAAUUGGAGGGCAAGUCUGGUGCCAGCAGCCGCGGUAAUUCCAGCUCCAAUAGCGUAUAUUAAAGUUGUUGCGGUUAAAAAGCUCGUAGUCGAAUCUGUGUCCCACGCCGCUGGUUCAUCGUUCGCGGUGUUAACUGGCGUGUCGCGGGACGUCCUGCCGGUGGGCUUAGCUCGCAAGGGCGGCCCAACUCAAUCCCGCUGCGGUGCUCUUCACUGAGUGUCGAGGUGGGCCGGCACGUUUACUUUGAACAAAUUAGAGUGCUUAAAGCAGGCUAAAAUUUCGCCUGAAUAUGUGUGCAUGGAAUAAUGGAAUAGGACCUCGGUUCUAUUUUGUUGGUUUUCGGAACCCCGAGGUAAUGAUUAAUAGGAACGGAUGGGGGCAUUCGUAUUGCGACGUUAGAGUGAAAUUCUUGGAUC